CGGCGGAUGGGUGAGUAACACGUGGGGAACCUGCCCCAUAGUCUGGGAUACCACUUGGAAACAGGUGCUAAUACCGGAUAAGAAAGCAGAUCGCAUGAUCAGCUUUUAAAAGGCGGCGUAAGCUGUCGCUAUGGGAUGGCCCCGCGGUGCAUUAGCUAGUUGGUAAGGUAAAGGCUUACCAAGGCGAUGAUGCAUAGCCGAGUUGAGAGACUGAUCGGCCACAUUGGGACUGAGACACGGCCCAAACUCCUACGGGAGGCAGCAGUAGGGAAUCUUCCACAAUGGACGCAAGUCUGAUGGAGCAACGCCGCGUGAGUGAAGAAGGUUUUCGGAUCGUAAAGCUCUGUUGUUGGUGAAGAAGGAUAGAGGUAGUAACUGGCCUUUAUUUGACGGUAAUCAACCAGAAAGUCACGGCUAACUACGUGCCAGCAGCCGCGGUAAUACGUAGGUGGCAAGCGUUGUCCGGAUUUAUUGGGCGUAAAGCGAGCGCAGGCGGAAGAAUAAGUCUGAUGUGAAAGCCCUCGGCUUAACCGAGGAACUGCAUCGGAAACUGUUUUUCUUGAGUGCAGAAGAGGAGAGUGGAACUCCCAUGUGUAGCGGUGGAAUGCGUAGAUAUAUGGAAGAACACCAGUGGCGAAGGCGGCUCUCUGGUCUGCAACUGACGCUGAGGCUCGAAAGCAUGGG
rnacentral:rRNA from 1 species